GACGAACGCUGGCGGCGUGCUUAACACAUGCAAGUCGAGCGGUAAGGCCCUUUCGGGGGUACACGAGCGGCGAACGGGUGAGUAACACGUGGGUGACCUGCCCUUAGCUCUGGGAUAAGCCUGGGAAACUGGGUCUAACACCGGAUAUGACUCCAUGACGCAUGUUGUGGGGUGGAAAGCCUUGUGCGGCUAGGGAUGGGCCCGCGGCCUAUCAGCUUGUUGGUGGGGUGAUGGCCUACCAAGGCGACGACGGGUAGCCGGCCUGAGAGGGCGACCGGCCACACUGGGACUGAGACACGGCCCAGACUCCUACGGGAGGCAGCAGUGGGGAAUCUUGCGCAAUGGGCGAAAGCCUGACGCAGCGACGCCGCGUGAGGGAUGACGGCC
rnacentral:rRNA from 1 species